UACGUAGGUGGCAAGCGUUAUCCGGAAUUAUUGGGCGUAAAGCGCGCGCAGGUGGUUUCUUAAGUCUGAUGUGAAAGCCCACGGCUCAACCGUGGAGGGUCAUUGGAAACUGGGAGACUUGAGUGCAGAAGAGGAAAGUGGAAUUCCAUGUGUAGCGGUGAAAUGCGUAGAGAUAUGGAGGAACACCAGUGGCGAAGGCGACUUGCUGGUCUGUAACUGACACUGAGGCGCGAAAGCGUGGGGAGCAAACAGG
rnacentral:rRNA from 1 species